CCUACGGGAGGCAGCAGUGGGGAAUAUUGCACAAUGGGCGAAAGCCUGAUGCAGCAAUGCCGCGUGUGUGAAGAAGGCCUGCGGGUUGUAAAGCACUUUCAGUGGGGAGGAAACAGUUGCGGGUUAAUAUCCCGCGACCUUGACGUUACCCACAGAAGAAGCACCGGCUAACUCCGUGCCAGCAGCCGCGGUAAU
rnacentral:rRNA from 1 species